ensembl:lncRNA
UUCAUUUUGCAUUUGCAUUUUCUCAGGCUAGUUGCAGACAUGACUGGCGAACGCAAUGGCUAGCUUCGUGAACUAAAAUCCAUACACUGUUAUAUGGCGUGGCAUUUUGAUUUCUUGUAAUCUUAUCUGGCAUUCUUAUCCAGAGUACCUUAAAUUAUUGAUUGCGUACAUUUAGUAGCUACAGUACUUUACAAUUGUUUUUGUUACGGGCAGAGGAAAAGGAAAGGUUGUCAGGUCUUGUUGUGCCAAGAGUGAGACAUAUUUUAACUAUAGCUUACUUUUAUUACAGGUAAGCUUAUACCCUCAAUGGCACCCCGCCCCGAAAGUCACAGACAAUGUCAGUUGAUACAAUGCAGUACACGACUUUAAAUUUGAAGAAACCAAUUGAAAUACCGGAGAAGCAAUCACCACAGGACUAAAAAUAUCUUGACAAUAGUAAAAGACCUGGAGGACACCUUCCCUAUCACUGGGCGCCUGUGGCGUUCAGCUCCGGGAGCAGGUGGCGUUCAGCUUCGGGGUCUUAAGAGAGCAUUUUGAGCCCACGGAGAGCAUACACCCAUGCUGAUUUUAGACUGGCAGACCAAAUCAGAUUUUUUCCCCCCACUUCGUCUUUUGACUAAUCGGAUCAGCUAGGAAAAAGACCAACUAGUUGAGAACAUAUCACAAUUGGGCUGCCUGUGUAAAUAAAGCCUUGCAUGCAAUGUUGCCUUCACACCUGAGACCAUUUUUGAUUCUCUGCCGUCUUUGUUUCUCAGCCAAGAAAAACAGUGUGAAGGCUGUAUGUUGUAGAUCCCUGGAGCUGGAAAUUGAAUACAAA